UACAGAGGGUGCGAGCGUUGUUCGGAAUUACUGGGCGUAAAGAGCGUGUAGGCGGUCUAGCAAGUCAGAUGUGAAAGCCCGGGGCCUAACUCCGGAAGUGCAUUUGAAACUGCUAGGCUUGAGUGAUGUAGAGGUUGGCGGAAUACCCAGUGUAGCGGUGAAAUGCGUAGAUAUCGUAAGGAAGACCAGUGGCGUGAAGGCGGG
rnacentral:rRNA from 1 species